rnacentral:lncRNA from 1 species
GGCAGCCGCUCCGGUCACAAGGGGCGGGCAGCGGCGGAGUCGGCGGCUAGCGGGGUGCAGCGCUCGCCGGUGGUCGUGAUCAGUCUACCCCUCAACCCCAAGCCUUUUCUCAGUGGACUGACAGGGAAGCCAGUGAUGGUGAAACUUAAGUGGGGCAUGGAGUACAAGGGCUACCUGGUCUCCGUGGAUGGCUACAUGAACAUGCAGCUUGCAAAUACAGAAGAGUACAUAGAUGGGGCGCUGUCUGGACAUCUGGGCGAAGUUCUAAUAAGGUGUAAUAAUGUCCUCUACAUCAGAGGCGUUGAAGAAGAAGAGGAAGAUGGGGAAAUGAGAGAAUAG